GCCCUCAUCGAUUAGUUUAGGUCAAAUCAAUCGUCUCAUAUAACACGUAUGCGAUCGGUAGCCAGCAGUUCGAAUCUGCUUGAGGGCA